GAUAUUUUACAACAGGCAGAGAUCCUUCUUCUUCUUCUUCCUCGCGCUAUUUCUCAAUUUUCACUUUACCCUCUCUAUCACCAUCUCUCUCUCACUCUCGAGCUCGAAUGAAGGUAUGUUAUCCCCCACAUUUUUUCUCUUUAAUUUUUUUUUUUAAUUUGAGAAUUUGACUUAUAUGUGAUGUGUGAAUGGGUGGGGGUGGGGAGGGACGAGGCUGGGAGCGUACCGGCAACCGGGUAGAGUUUGUGUUUGUGUGUGUGUUGGAUAAGUUUUAGGAAUUGUUUUGUAAUUUUGUAUGAAUUUUAUGAAAUAUCGUCAUUUUAGAAAAUUUUAAUUCCUAGAAAUUUUAAGAAGUUUUUGAAAAACUAGAAAUUUUUAGGAAAUAUUGGAUAUAUUGGAAAUAAUAGAGGAAUUUUAGGAAUUAUUUAUUUUUUAGGAAUCUUAUAAAUUUUAGAAAUUUUAUAUGAAUUUUCUAAAUUAGUGUUUCUUUAUUGUGAAUUGUUUUUCUAUUUUCUAGGAAUCUUAUAAAUUUUAGAAAUUUAUAUGAAUUUUCUAAAUUAGUGUUUCUUUAUUGUGAAUUAUUUUUCUAUUAUCUAGGAAUCUUAUAAAUUUUAGAAAUUUAUAUGAAUUUUCUAAAUUAGUGUUUCUUCAUUGUAAAUUUUUUAUGUCAUUGUGGUUCAUCACCACUGGGCGUUGCUCUGCGUUCGGGUCAGAAUGAACCGGCAACAGAGAUGAGGGAUAUUCCAUUGGCGAUGACCAAAGGUACCCAGGCAACCAUCAUCGAGUCGACUACUGAGUCCACUCCAUCAGCUUCAUUGGUCCGGGAGCUCGAUUUACCCGAUGUAUUCAAAACCAAAAAUGGUCUGGUGCUUUGCUAGCCCCAGCACUUGUGGUGACAUCGUGGAAGUCGAUGCCCAUUCGGUGCCAUGCCCCCGAGGGAGGCGCACUGUAGAGGCUUGUCCUCAAACCAAAUCACCAGCAUAACGCAAGCCAAAGUCCUGGUCGUUUACGACCAAAGACAUCGGCGGUGGACGUCAAAGUCAACAGCUUGUUGACUCAUGACAUGAGAGUCGUCAUCUGCACUAAGGCCAUCUCCAACCGAAGGGUCCAGAGGGCCAGAGGGCCGAAAAUAGCUCUAAAACCGUCUCCAACCGAGGGUUAGGCUAGAGGAC
rnacentral:lncRNA from 1 species